rnacentral:rRNA from 1 species
UACGUAGGGGGCUAGCGUUGUCCGGAUUUAUUGGGCGUAAAGAGCGUGUAGGCGGCUAGGUAGGUCUGCUGUGAAAACUCGAGGCUCAACCUCGAGACGUCGGCGGAAACCAUCUGGCUAGAGUCCGGAAGAGGAGAGUGGAAUUCCUGGUGUAGCGGUGAAAUGCGCGGAUAUCAGGAAGAACACCCGUGGCGAAGGCGGCUCUCUGGGACGGUACUGACGCUGAGACGCGAAAGCGUGGGGAGCGAACAGG